UACGAAGGGGGCUAGCGUUGCUCGGAAUGACUGGGCGUAAAGGGCGCGUAGGCGGUUUGGUCAGUUAGAUGUGAAAUUCCUGGGCUUAACCUGGGGGCUGCAUUUAAUACGGCCAGACUUGAGUGUGAAAGAGGGUCGUGGAAUUCCCAGUGUAGAGGUGAAAUUCGUAGAUAUUGGGAAGAACACCGGUGGCGAAGGCGGCGACCUGGUUCAUUACUGACGCUGAGGCGCGAAAGCGUGGGGAG
rnacentral:rRNA from 1 species